rnacentral:lncRNA from 1 species
GGGCAGACGACCAAUCAAAAUAGUUCACCUACGAAUGGCCAGACUAUGCCAGUCACCAUGACCGGUCCAUCUAUGGAAUCAUCAACAUCUUUCACCUCCCUGAAUACCAUUGAAACACCCACCACUCCAAAGACAGACUCUACAGAAACACCCACUGAAAGUCCUUCUGCUGGCACAGUUUCCUCACCAGUAGUUCCUUCCACAUCUACCAGUGAAUCAACAGUGUCACACAAGUCCACCACAGUUCCAGUAAGUGAGGGAACCUCACAGGAAACCACAAUCAUUACAUCUACUGGUCAUUUAACACCAUCAGCAGAGACUUCUGUGUCAACACCCGUCACAGUGGUCACGGUGUCAAGUGAGUCUGCAGCACCUUCAAUUUCUUCUACAGUAACUGGGCAGACGACCAAUCAAAAGAGUUCACCUACAAAUGGCCAGACUAUGCCAGUCACCAUGACAGGUCCAUCUAUGCAACCGUCAACAUCUUUUACCUCCCUGAAUACCAUUGAAACACCCACCACUCCAAAGACAGAAUCUACAGAAACACCCACUGAAAGUCCAUCUAUGCAACCGUCAACAUCUUUUACCUCCCUGAAUACCAUUGAAACACCCACCACUCCAAAGACAGACUCUACAGAAACACCCACUGAAAGUCCUUCUGCUGGCACAGUUUCCUCACCAGUAGUUCCUUCCACAUCUACCAGUGAAUCAACCGUGUCACACAACUCUACCACAUUUCCUGUAAGUGAGGGAACCUCACAGGAAACCACAAUGGCUACAUCUACUGGUCAUGUAAUACCAUCAGCAGAGCCUUCUGUGUCAACACCCGUCACAGUGGUCACAGUGUCAAGUGAGUCUGCAGCACCUUCAAUUUCUUCUACAGUAACUGGGCAGACGACCAAUCAAAAUAGUUCACCUUCAAAUGGCCAAACUAUGCCAGUCACCAUGACAGGUCCAUCUAUGCAACCGUCAACAUCUUUCACCUCCCUGAAUACCAUUGAAACACCCACCACUCCAAAGACAG